rnacentral:rRNA from 1 species
UACGUAGGGACCUAGCGUUGUCCGGAAUCAUUGGGCGUAAAGCGCGCGUAGGCGGCCCGGUAAGUCCGUUGUAAAAGUCAAAGGCUCAACCUUUGAAAGCCGAUGGAUACUGCCGGGCUAGAGUACGGAAGAGGCGAGUAGAAUUCCUGGUGUAGCGGUGGAAUGCGCAGAUAUCAGGAGGAAUACCCAUAGCGAAGGCAGCUCGCUGGGACGUUACUGACGCUGAGACGCGAAAGCGUGGGGAGCAAACAGG